UCCAAUCGAACUCGGAGAUAGCUGGUUCUCCUCGAAAUAGCUUUAGGGCUAGCCUCGAGCUGGAGUCUAACGGAGGUAAAGCACUGAACUGACGCGGGGCCCAAAAAGGUUACCAACUCAUAUCAAACUAAGAAUGCCGUCAAGAUACCCUCGGGAGUCAGUCUGCGUGAGAUAAGUCGCGUGGACAAAAGGGAAAGAGCCCAGACCGACAGCUAAGGUCCCAAAGUACGUGUUAAGUGGAAAAGGAUGUGGGAUUUCAUAGACAACUAGGAUGUUGGCUUAGAAGCAGCCAUACAUUUAAAGAGUGCGUAAUAGCUCACUAGUCGAGAAAACCUGCGCCGAAAAUGUAACGGGGCUAAAACACGACACCGAAGCUACGGAUUUCCUACAAGGUAGGAAGUGGUAGAGGAGCAUCCUGCAAGGACGAAGCCAAAGUGAGAGCGAUGGUGGACGAAACAGGAGAGAGAAUGCCGGAAUGAGUAGCGAGAUACAUGUGAGAAACAUGUAGGCCGAAUAUCUAAGGAUUCCUGGGUAAAGCUAAUCUUCCCAGGGUUAGUCGGGGCCUAAGGCGAGGACGAAAGUCGUAGUCGAUGGAUAACAGGUUGAUAUUCCUGUACUACACAUAAUCAGAACUGUGGGGACGCAGGAGGAUAGGGAAACCGGGGAAUGGAAAGACCCGGUCAAGCGUAAAGCUGUGGGAGAUAGGCAAAUCCGUCUCCUGUAAGUGAAACGUGAUGAGGACUGAAAAAAAGUAAGGAAGUUUCCGAAUCCACACUGCCGAGAAAAGCCGCUAUUGCGUUAUGUGUACCCGUACCGUAAACCGACACAGGUAGAUGAGGAGAAAAUCCACAGGCCGACGGGAGAAGUGUUGUUAAGGAACUCGGCAAAAUGACCCCGUAACUUCGGGAUAAGGGGAGCCUCGCAAGAGGCCGCAGAAAAGAGGCACAAGCAACUGUUUAGCAAAAACAUAGGUCUAUGCGAAACCGUAAGGUGAAGUAUAUGGGCUGACGCCUGCCCGGUGCUGGAAGGUUAAGAGGAGAGGUUAGCGCAAGCGAAGCUUUGAAUUUAAGCCCCAGUAAACGGCGGCCGUAACUAUAACGGUCCUAAGGUAGCGAAAUUCCUUGUCAGGUAAGUUCUGACCCGCACGAAAGGCGUAAUGAUUUGUGCACUGUCUCGACAACACGCCCGGUGAAAUUGAAGAACCAGUGAAGAUACUGGUUACCCGCAACAGGACGGAAAGACCCCAUGGAGCUUUACUGCAGCCUGAUACUGGGAUUCGAUGAUAUAUGUACAGGAUAGGUGGGAGGCUAAGAAGCGAGAACGCUAGUUUUCGUGGAGCCGCCGGUGGGAUACCACUCUUAUGUCAUUGAAUUUCUAACCUGCAUCCGUAAUCCGGAUGAGGGACAAUGUCAGGCGGGCAGUUUGACUGGGGCGGUCGCCUCCUAAAAGGUAACGGAGGCGCUCGAAGGUCACCUCAGAAUGAUUGGAAACCAUUCAAAGAGUGUAAAGGCAAAAGGUGGCUUGACUGCGAGAGCGACGGCUCGAGCAGGUACGAAAGUAGGACUUAGUGAUCCGGUGGUAAUAAGUGGGAAUGCCAUCGCUCAACGGAUAAAAGCUACCCUGGGGAUAACAGGCUUAUCACUCCCAAGAGUUCACAUCGACGGAGUGGUUUGGCACCUCGAUGUCGGCUCAUCGCAUCCUGGGGCUGAAGUAGGUCCCAAGGGUUGGGCUGUUCGCCCAUUAAAGCGGUACGCGAGCUGGGUUCAGAACGUCGUGAGACAGUUCGGUCCCUAUCCGUUGUGGGCGCAGGAAAUUUGAGAGGAGCUGUCCUUAGUACGAGAGGACCGGGAUGGACGUACCUCUGGUGUACCGGUUGCAGACCAACUGCACAGCCGGGUAGCUAUGUAUGGAACGGAUAAACGCUGAAGGCAUCUAAGCGUGAAGCCGCCCUCAAGAUAAGAUUUCCCAUUCUUCGGAAGUAAGAUCCCUUAAAGAUAAUGAGGUUGAUAGGUUGGAGGUGUAAGCAUGGUAACAUGUUCAGCUGACCAAUACUAAUAGAUCGAGGGCUUGACCAA
rnacentral:rRNA from 1 species